rnacentral:rRNA from 1 species
GACGAACGCUGGCGGCGUGCUUAACACAUGCAAGUCGAACGAAGUGGCGAACGGGUGAGUAACGCGUAAUCAACCUGCCCUUCAGAGGGGGACAACAGUUGGAAACGACUGCUAAUACCGCAUACUGAAGAAGGGGAAUGCGUCUGAUUAGCUGGUUGGUGGGGUAACGGCCCACCAAGGUGAUGAUAAUGAGCCGGUCUGGGAUGAUGAACGGCCACAUUGGGACUGAGACACGGCCCAGACUCCUACGGGAGGCAGCAGUGGGGAAUCUUCCGCAAUGGACGUAAGUCUGACGGAGCAACGCCGCGUGAGUGAUGACGGCCUUCGGGUUGUAAAGCUCUGUUAAUCGGGACGCGGUACCGGAAUAGAAAGCCACGGCUAACUACGUGCCAGCAGCCGCGGUAAUUC